GAUGAACGCUGGCGGCGUGCCUAAUACAUGCAAGUCGAGCGAACAGAUGAGGAGCUUGCUCCUCUGACGUUAGCGGCGGACGGGUGAGUAACACGUGGAUACCCUACCUAUCAGACUGGGAUAACUUCGGGAAACCGGCGCUAAUACCGGAUAAUAUAUUGAACCGCAUGGUUCAAUAGUGAAAGACGGUUUUGCUGUCACUUAUAGAUGGAUCCGCGCCGCAUUAGCUAGUUGGUAAGGUAACGGCUUACCAAGGCAACGAUGCGUAGCCGACCUGAGAGGGGGAUCGGCCACACGGGAACUGAGACGCGGACCAGACUACUACGGGAGGCAGCAGUAGGGAAUGUUCCGCAAAGGGCGAAAGCAUGACGGAGCAACGCCGCGUGAGUGAUGAAGGUCUUCGGAGCGUAAAACUCGGUUAUGAGGGAAGAACAAAUGUGUAAGUAACUAUGCACGUCUUGACGGUACCUAAUCAGAAAGCCACGGCUAACUACGUG
rnacentral:rRNA from 1 species